rnacentral:rRNA from 1 species
UACGUAGGGGGCAAGCGUUGUCCGGAAUCAUUGGGCGUAAAGCGCGCGUAGGCGGCCCGGUAAGUCCGUUGUGAAAGUCAAAGGCUCAACCUUUGAAUGCCGAUGGAUACUGCCGGGCUGGAGUCCGGAAGAGGCGAGUGGAAUUCUUGGUGUAGCGGUGGAAUGCGCAGAUAUCAGGAGGAACACCGAUAGCGAAAGGCAGCUCGCUGGGACGGUACUGGACGCUGAGGCGCGAAAGCGUGGGGAGCGAACGG